AUACUUACCUAGAAGAAGAGACACCAUAAUCACAAAGGUCGUUUUCCCCGGGUGAGGCUUAUCCAUCACAUCCAGAACAUCUUGAUAUUCUGACCCCUACAGUUUCCCCAAAUUCAGGAAACUCAACUGCAUAUUUGGUGGUAGUGAGGAACUGUAUUCAUGCUCCCCUGU
ensembl:snRNA Gm23741 predicted gene, 23741